ACCAAAAAUUAUUAAAACUCAAGCCAAAUAUGUUUGAUACCAGAAGUUAGAUGAAUUGAUUGAUAUCGUUUUCACUGGAAGUAGUUAGCCUAGCUCUGUCUAGUCCUUUCUUGACGUGUUUUAUCUUUUGUAUUUACUAAAUGUAGAAAUAGACAACAAGACAUUGUGGUUUGAAGAGCAGUAGCCUGCAAACAACAGCUGUGUUACUGACCAACAACAGCUGUGAAUCUGUACACAGCAUCUCUGAAGUCCACCAGUACCCCGCUCAUGAGGAGGCCGCGCCAGUCUAUGAGUAGCAUUCAUCUGUGCGCCAUAUGUGAUUAUAUCAAAAUUAAGAACAAAAUACCCCUCUUCACGUUAGACCAAUGUUGUUUUCUCAAGGCCCCCAGGUCUGAGGGCUUAACAUUACAUCAGCACAUGAAAGUGAAGGAUGAAAAAGUGCCUUGUAGCUUGGACUUGAGUGGACUCCCUCCAGGAUUAGCCAGGAAACCACAGGA